UACGAGGGGGGCAAGCGUUGUUCGGAAUUAUUGGGCGUAAAGGGCGCGUAGGCGGUUUGACAAGUCUGAUGUGAAAUCUCUGGGCUCAACCCAGAGUCUGCAUUAGAAACUGCCGGGCUUGAGUAUGGGAGAGGUGAGUGGAAUUUCCGGUGUAGCGGUGAAAUGCGUAGAUAUCGGAAGGAACACCUGUGGCGAAAGCGGCUCACUGGACCAUAACUGACGCUGAGGCGCGAAAGCUAGGGGAGCAAACAGG
rnacentral:rRNA from 1 species